GAAUCGCAUGGCCUUGCGCCGGCGAUGCUUCAUUCAAAUAUCUGCCCUAUCAACUUUCGAUGGUACGGUAGUGGCCUACCAUGGUUGCAACGGGUAACGGGGAAUAAGGGUUCGAUUCCGGAGAGGGAGCCUGAGAAACGGCUACCACAUCCAAGGAAGGCAGCAGGCGCGCAAAUUAUCCAAUCCCGACACGGGGAGAUAGUGACAAAAAAUAACAAUACAGGGCUUUCAUAGGUCUUGUAAUUGGAAUGAGUACAAUUUAAAUCCCUUAACGAGGAACAAUUGGAGGGCAAGUUUGGUGCCAGCAGCCGCGGUAAUUCCAACUCCAAUAGCGUAUAUUAAAGUUGUUGCAGUUAAAAAGCUCGUAGUUGAACUUGGGCCCUGGCUGGGCGGUCCGCCUAACGGCGAGUACUGCCUUUCGGCUGGGGCUUAUCCUCUUGUGUGAACCCGGUCGUACUUUGUGCGGUCGGGGGAGCCAGGGAAAUUACUUUGAAAAAAUUAGAGUGUUCAAAGCAGGCCUAUCGGCUCGAAUAGAUUAGCAUGGAAUAAGGGAACAGGACGUUGCGGUCCCGUUUCGUUGGUUUUUGGGAUCGCCGUAAUGAUUAAUAGGGACAGUCGGGGGCAUUAGUAUUCACAAGCUAGAGGUGAAAUUCUUGGAUUUUGUGAAGACUAACUUCUGCGAAAGCAUUUUGCCAAGGAUGUUUUCAUUAAUCAAGAACGAAGGUUAGGGGAUCGAAAACGAUUAGAUACCGUUGUAGUCCUAACAGUAAACUAUGCCGACUAGGGGAUCGGUCGACGUUAUUCACAUGACUCGA
rnacentral:rRNA from 1 species